rnacentral:rRNA from 1 species
UUAGGAGGAACACCAGUGGCGAAGGCGACUUACUGGACUGUAACUGACGCUGAGUCACGAAAGCGUGGGUAGCAAACAGGAUUAGAUACCCUGGUAGUCCACGCUGUAAACGAUGAGUGCUAGGUGUUGGGUAGCGAUAUUCAGUGCCGAAGUAAACACAAUAAGCACUCCGCCUGGGGAGUACGGUCGCAAGACUGAAACUCAAAGGAAUUGACGGGGACCCGCACAAGCAGCGGAGCAUGUGGUUUAAUUCGAAGCAACGCGAAGAACCUUACCAAGGCUUGACAUCCCCUUGACCGGCACAGAGAUGUGCCCUCUCCUUCGGGAGCAAGGGUGACAGGUGGUGCAUGGUUGUCGUCAGCUCGUGUCGUGAGAUGUUGGGUUAAGUCCCGCAACGAGCGCAACCCUUAUCCUUAGUUGCCAGCAGGUUAAGCUGGGCACUCUAAGGAGACUGCCGAUGAUAAAUCGGAGGAAGGUGGGGAUGACGUCAAAUCAUCAUGCCCCUUAUGUCUUGGGCUACACACGUGCUACAAUGGUCGGUACAAAGGGCAGCGAAGGAGUGAUCUGGAGCGAAUCCCAAUAAACCGAUCCCAGUUCGGAUUGUAGGCUGCAACUCGCCUACAUGAAGUCGGAGUUGCUAGUAAUCGCGAAUCAGAACGUCGCGGUGAAUGCGUUCCCGGGUCUUGUACACNCCGCCCGUCACACCAUGGAAGUUGGUAAU